UCACCCGCUUCACCUCCCUGAGCGGGUGCUUCUUCAAGAGGCGUUUCGAGCCCACGGCUUCCAUCCCCUUUGGCCGUGGGCUUUUUUCU
rnacentral:ncRNA from 1 species